UAGGGAAUCUUCGGCAAUGGGGGCAACCCUGACCGAGCAACGCCGCGUGAGUGAAGAAGGUUUUCGGAUCGUAAAGCUCUGUUGUAAGAGAAGAACGUGUGUGAGAGUGGAAAGUUCACACAGUGACGGUAACUUACCAGAAAGGGACGGCUAACUACGUGCCAGCAGCCGCGGUAAUACGUAGGUCCCGAGCGUUGUCCGGAUUUAUUGGGCGUGAAGCGAGCGCAGGCGGUUUAAUAAGUCUGAAGUUAAAGGCAGUGGCUUAACCAUUGUUCGCUUUGGAAACUGUUAAACUUGAGUGCAGAAGGGGAGAGUGGAAUUCCAUGUGUAGCGGUGAAAUGCGUAGAUAUAUGGAGGAACACCGGUGGCGAAAGCGGCUCUCUGGUCUGUAACUGACGCUGAGGCUCGAAAGCGUGGGGAGCAAACAGG
rnacentral:rRNA from 1 species